AUACGGGGGUUGCAAGCGCUAUUCGGAUUUAUUGGGCGUAAAGAGCGCGUAGGCGGCUUGGUAAGUCAGAUGUGAAAGCCCGGGGCUCAACCCCGGACGUGCAUUUGAAACUAUCAGGCUUGAGUAUGGGAGAGGGAAGUGGAAUUCCUGGUGUAGAGGUGAAAUUCGUAGAUAUCAGGAGGAACACCGGUGGCGAAGGCGACUUCCUGGACCAAUACUGACGCAGAGGCGCGAAGGCGUGGGGAGCAAACAGGAUUAGAUACCACAGUAGUCC
rnacentral:rRNA from 1 species